GACGAACGCUGGCGGCGUGCCUAAUACAUGCAAGUUGAGCGAUGAAGCUUGGUGCUUGCACCAAUUUGAAGAGCAGCGAACGGGUGAGUAACGCGUGGGGAAUCUGCCUUUGAGCGGGGGACAACAUCUGGAAACGAAUGCUAAUACCGCAUAACAACUUUAAACAUAAGUUUUAAGUGUGAAAGAUGCAAUUGCAUCACUCAAAGAUGAUCCCCCGUUGCAUUAGCCAGGUGGUGAGGUAAAGGCGCACCAAGGCAACGAUGCAUAGCCGACCUGAGAGGGUGAUAGGCCACACGGGAACUGAGACACGGUCAAGACUCCUACGGGAGGCAGCAGUCGGGAAUAUGAAGCAAUGGGCGAAAUCAUGACGGUGUAACGCAGGGUGAGGGAUGAAGGUCGUCGGAUCGUAAAACUCUGUGAUUAGGGAAGAACAGAUGUGUAAGUAACUGUGCACAUCUGGACGGUACCUAAUCAGAAAGCCACGGCUAACUACGUG
rnacentral:rRNA from 1 species